rnacentral:lncRNA from 1 species
GAAACUAAGAUUGGUUGAGGGAAGCUUUUUGAGCCAAACUUUAUGAAGACCUUGCAUACAUCGUUAUUAUUCCAACAUCAAAGUAGCAUGAGUUAUUUUCAUAAAGGUAGCUUGAGUUAUUUUGAUUGCAUCAUCAGAUCAUGAGGGAUUAAAGAGGAGCCCAAACGAUGUGGGUAUCAAGUAAGAAAUGACAAGCAUAAUUGUGUUGAUCCACCUUUUCGCAUGCGGGGAGGGCUUAAAACCAGUUUGAAAAUGGUUGCCAAUUCUUAGUGUUAGGAUGGCACCCUGCAAUCGCGUCCACCGUGCUUCCAUCUUUCCCUUCCAACUUCACCUGGGGGGAGGGCUUGAAACCAAGUUGAAAUGGUUCCCAAUCCUUGUUUAAAUUGUAUAAUUUGUCUCUCUCUCUAGAAAAUUCUACACUCCUCUCCAUCUUUCCACCGUCAUUCCUUCUCUUUAUAGGUCUUUCUAUUGUCUCCAAUCUAGUAUUCUCUCCACCGUCAUAAACAAACCUAUAAAAAGGGGGUUUGAAGGUGUGUUGUAUCUAUCUAUUCGUGAGAAAGAGAGAGCUUCCCAAGAAGAUGUCCCUAUCCAUUUGUGUAAAGCAGAAAAAGUCUCCCAAGCCCUAUACGUGUGAGAGAGUAGUAAAAGAAAAAGAGAGUUCGAAAUAUACUUUUGCGAAGAAAAGUUCUUGUGGGGAAAAAAGUGAGAGAAAAAGUUAGCAUGGGGGUAAGUUGCAUAGUUAGUGUAUAUUGGGGUUUUUUAAUAAUUUUCCCAAGAGUCUACGAAGUGAGCUUGAAAGUGAAAGAUGGACUACAAUAGAAGCAAUUGCGACUUGCCAUGGCGACCCUAAGGAUUGAGCACCACCUAGGAUUGAGCACCACCUCCAACAUGGGUUAAAGCCCUCCUCGUAGGCAUAAAGGUAGAUCAACACAAUUAUACUUGCCAUUUCUUACCUGAUACCCACACCAUUUGGGCUUCUGUUUAACUUCCCAUGAUCAGAUGAUGCAGUCAAAAUAACUCGUGCCACCUAUAUGUUGGAAUAAAUAAGAAAGAUGUAUGCAGUCAAAAUAACUCGUGCCACCCAUAUGUUGGAAUAAAUAAGAACAAUUUAUGCAGUCAAAAUAACUUGUGCCACCUAUUUGUUGAAAU